rnacentral:rRNA from 1 species
AUUGAACGCUGGCGGUAUGCUUAAGACAUGCAAGUCGUGCGGUAGGGGCUUCGGCCCUGAGAGCGGCGCACGGGUGCGUAACGCGUGGGGAUCUGCCCUUUGCUUCGGAAUAACAGUUAGAAAUGACUGCUAAUACCGGAUGAUGUCGUAAGACCAAAGAUUUAUCGGCAAAGGAUGAACCCGCGUAGGAUUAGCUAGUUGGUGGGGUAAAGGCCUACCAAGGCGACGAUCCUUAGCUGGUCUGAGAGGAUGAUCAGCCACACUGGGACUGAGACACGGCCCAGACUCCUACGGGAGGCAGCAGUGGGGAAUAUUGGACAAUGGGCGAAAGCCUGAUCCAGCAAUGCCGCGUGAGUGAUGAAGGCCUUAGGGUUGUAAAGCUCUUUUACCCGGGAUGAUAAUGACAGUACCGGGAGAAUAAGCUCCGGCUAACUCCGUGCCAGCAGCCGCGG